CCACCUCUCCGCCUCCAGUGGUCGGCUAGAUGUUCCCAGCUCAUUUUUAUUUUGUCACCGUGUUUCAGGAGCCGUGCCCAGCAAAUGUUGGUGGGAUUAAUGAAAAGAAGUUGGGAAGUUAUUAGGCAGUUAGGAGACUGGAUAGGGAGGAAGACAGGACAUUCAGAAAGGGAGGGAGGAAGGAAGGGAAGCCAGACGCCACGUGGAGCUCUAGAACGCACAACGUUGAAUGCAGUAGGAAGGAAACGUGGCCCUUGCUAAUCAGGUCUUUCCAGUUGGAGUUGAUGAGGGAAACCCAAGUGAGACCAUUAAAGCUACAAAUCGCAGGGCAACAUCCGCAACAAUGAUAGAGAAUAAACAGUGUGAAUAUAAAGUGGAGAAGCACUGAAAAUGGAGAAUUAGUCACUCUCUGCCCAUCCCGGGAAGCAGGUAGCUUGCUUUCUCAUUUGCGAUGCCCAUCCCUUGUUUCAGGAAAAGGAAAAUUAAUGUAAAAGUUUGAAAGCGAAACCAAUAACUUGUUUGUGAACUGAUCAUCCCUGAGGCUCCUUUGACUUGCUGUCACCUGUGUGUAAAGGUCUGAUGAAGCAGAGAUGACAGUGACCAGCUGCAGCUGUCCCCUGUGACUGCCCUGCACAGCCAUUCCUGCUCGGCUCGCAGAAUUAUUAUCAUGUGGAAAGGAAGGAAUGCUUUCCAAAGUGCAAGGGGUUAUGCAGCCCUGGUUUACCCUAUGCCAUGCUGGGAGGGGGAGGCAGCGAGCGGCAGGUGCUCUCCACAUUCUGCAUAAAAAUGUCUCCAAUGUGCUUCAAAAUGUUUGUCGCUCCCACAGAGAACCUGCAAAUCCUCACCGCAGGGCCUUGCAGAGGAGGACACGGAAACGUGUGCUGAGGAGGACUUCCUCUCACCUGCGUUUCCCCAAAGCAAUUCCAAAGCAUGAAGGUCUUUGUCUUCUAAGCCAAGAUGUCAGCUUUCUGCCUUUUUGCGUCAGAUUUUGCUCCGUGUUCUGCUUACGCUGCUAAACGCCAACUUGAAUGAAGUACUGAGCAUCACUGCCCCACCAACCCAAGAUUCUUCCGGACACGGUGGGCACUUUAUACCCGGGGACAGUUCUGACUCCCCUUGUCAGGUGUUGCUGGUCUCCAUCGCAUUUGCCAAAGCCUCGCAGGUACCACUCUGUCACCGUCAAAUGUCCCGUCGCUUGGCUGAGGUGUUCCCCACCCAGGUCCCAUCUGGCACGCUGACUCUGUCCUAAGAGGCCCAGAGUCUUGGAUUCUGAGCAAACCUGCCUACCACCGCUGGGCCACCGCUGGGCCACCGCUGGAAGACUGGCAGCUCUCCUUCCUCCCUUCCGCCGAGAAUGAAGCUUCCUCUCCACCAGAAAACCGCUACAGCAAAAACACACUAGGAAUCCUCAAUUUGGGAGUCCCUGGAACUAGAAUGAAUUUCUCUAGGUCAGAGGUCAGCAAGCAUUUUCUACACAAGAUCAGGUAGUAACUAUUUUAGGCUUUUACGACAGAGAACCAUAUAGUCUCUGUCACGACUAUUCAAUUUAGCCAUCAUCGUGCGAGAAAAAGUGUGGACAAUACUGAACAAAUAAAUGUGGCUGGAUUUGACCUGUGGGCUGUGGUUUGUCAACUCCUGUUCUAGAGCCUAAAACUGAAUCCUCACUAAUGGCCAGUUCAGUGCACGAAGAGCAUAAUUUUGCUCUUUUUUUCAGUUUUAUAUUCACCUGGACUACUUUUUGCUGUGUCUUCACCUCCAAUAUUCAAACAGCCGCCUACCAGCAGUUCUGUGACAAGACCUAGGAAUCUGCAGAGAAUGAAGUAUCUGGGCUUUGUUCAAGACAGCCGCGUGUCUGUGGAGUUUGACCUGUCAUUCGACCAUGUCUAGGACAUCUCUCAAAUUGUGAAGAUUCCUCUCAGAUCAGCUUCUCCAUAACUCGGGCAGAAAUACCCAUUUGUCAUAAAGCCCUGCAUGACACUUACCCAGAGAGCUCUUUUUUGGCAACUUCACCUUUAGGAGCAAGGAUCCUGACAACAGCAAGCCAUAUUAGCAAUGGACAUGACAGAAAAGCUGUAAAGAGAGGACAACAGACUGACAAAAUGCACCAGGCUAGGGCCAGUUAUAAAAGGAUCAAAUAUCUCUG
rnacentral:lncRNA from 1 species